UUAAAAAUUUGGUAUUUAUUCAAUCAUCAAUAUUAAGUAGCAAUUCUACUGGUAGUUCUAGAAGCACACAUGUCAAAAUAGCAGUAACAUGAAGUUUGAGAAGAGAAGUAAGUAUAGUUGUUAAAAUUCCUUUAGUAUUAUUAUAUAAAAAGUCAAAUCGUUUGUAAUCGCAGCUAAAUGUCAAGUACCUUGAAACCCCGGAAUUCCCCUCGCUCGCGUUGUUAUGAGGUGGCAUGGCGUUUCAACAAUUCCUUUUCCCAUAUUCAGGAAACACUUCCGGAAAUGAAGAAAACCGCUGCCCGCCGUCGGCUGUGGACAACCGGAAGUGCAGAGUCUGCGACUGCGCAAUGCGACCAGAGGCGACGUCAUUGAGUCAUGCAUGCACAUCGACGCCUAAAUAUUGUCCAAGCAAGUGGUGGAUGAACACAAGUGCCGACACAGAUGAGGCCAACAAAGGGAAUGGUGAACUUCCGAUCAGCGGCGACACGUACCGAAAGUGCAAAGACAUGUGCAUGUUGUCGUGCCACGAUGGCUACACGCUAAGCACCACAACAGAUGAGACUGGCUGUCAGACGUGCGCAUGCGUGGAUUCAGAGCCGUGUAGAAUUAUCACUUGAUCUGUGGUAGUGUUGGUGAUGAUGAUGGUGGGGUGAGUUUUUUUUGAGCGGGUAAUGUGUGUGGAAGUGAUGAUGCUGAUGAUGCUGACGAAGAAUAGAAGAAGGAUGAGAAUAGUAAUGAUUUUUUAUGAUGGUGCCGAUUGAUUAUGAUGUAGGUGGUGGUGCUACUGCUUCUGAGGCUGCUUCUAAUGAUGAUGAUAAGGUGUAUUAUAACCAUGUUGCUCAUGAUGUUGAUGAUGAUUAUGAAGAUAUCCAUGAUGAUGUGAAGGUUGAUGAUGGUAUCGACGGGGAUGCUGUUGUAUUUGAUGAUUAAGAUCAUGAUGUCGGUUCUGGUAAUGAUGAUGAUGAUGAUGAUGAUGAUGAUGAUGAUGAUGAUGAUGGUGGUGGUGGUGGCGGUGGUGGUGGUGGUGGUGAUGAUGAUGAUGAUGAUGAUGAUGAUGAUGAUGAUGAUGAUGAUGAUGAUGAUGAUGAUGAUGAUGAUGGUGAUGCAUUACAUGUUUAAGCAUUUUCACAGCAAAAUUUGGAACAAACCACAAAAGAACCAACCACUUCAGCAUCCGGUAUGAGCUCUUCAAGCGGCAACGGGCUCUCAUCAUCCGGGAGCGGUCACGGCGCAAGUGCUGAAAGAGACUCUUGGGGAUCUGGUUCAGGAACCGUAAGCAGUGGCGGGGGUGGUGAUCCCUGAAAUGCAGUUUGAAGACAGUGACGGGAGCGCUUCAGUUGGCGGGAUGGACGCAUGAGGAGUUAUUAACGUCGUUAUCGGGGCGUCUUCUAAUUGUUUCGGGCCGAUGUGUCCGGGAAGCGGAGGCGGCAUCAACCCGAUGUUUCCGGUAGUCAGUGAAAGCGGUAAUGGCGGCUGCACGGGCCCGUUCUGUAUGGGCGCCGGAAAUGGCGGCAGUGGAGGAGCCAGAAGUGGCGGUUGGAUGAUGGGCGGACCCAGGGGAGUGAGAGGUAAAUAUUGGCGUCCGUUCCUGUUGUUAUUGCUGGCCGGACACGAAAUUCGCCAUAGGUUGUAAAACUGUGACGUCAUCGAGCCACGCAUUGCAGCUGCGAGAGGCAUCACCGGGGAACUAAUAUACACAUGUCCGGUUUGCUCUUCGGAUAGAGGGAUGUCCUCUGGAUUUUCCGGAUCUCCGCCCAACAGCACACCAAAAUUACAUAUGCAGUGACAAUAACUUAAUUGCUGUCAAUUGCUGCUUUAAUUCAGUAUUCGACCAAACAUCCUUGUUUGUAGAAAGUAAAUGCAGUCACGGACGAGUAAGGACCUCAAACACUUUGAAAUGCAAAUUUACUCAUAAAUGAACAUUGGGACAAUGAUCCACAAACAUCAACUUGAUCUCCUUCACAAUGCGAGUUUUUGUCGUUUCAGUUGUUGUUAAAUAUUUUCAUUUUGUUUUUUAUUGUUAUACUGGCACAUUUUCCGUUUUAUUGUUAUAAAAAUUUUCACAUACAAAAUUGAUUCAACACAGUUCAAAAAUACGAAUCAACGAAAAAAGUAAUAAAAAAUUGAUUCAACACAGUUCAAAAAUAAGAAUCAAUGAAAAAGUAAUUUAAAAAAAUAAAAAAUAAUAAUUGUCAAAAGUGUAAUGUGUAAAAAGUAUAAUUUCUGAAAAAUGUAAUUUGUCUACUACUACUACUACUACUGCUGCUGCUGCUGCUGCUGCUGCUGCUGCUACUACUACUACUACUACUACUACUACUACUAUUACUACUACUACUACUACUACUACUACUACUACUACUACUACUACUACUACUACUACCACUACUACUUUUUCUUCUACUACUACUACUACAACUACUACUACUACUAC